AUAUUCUGCACGGGCUUCUGGGCAGGCAGCACUAACACUCAGGAGAAGGUCUGCCUCUGUCUGCGCCUUCCUGGUUCAAUGCAGGCAGAUGAGUGUCACAGAUGUAACUGAGGCACUGAAUAAUCAACAUAUCGGAGCCAAUUCCCAGGACGGCAAGAGGGGGAACCGGCAGAGAUGACUGACCCUGGAGGACAAGAGCAUUCUUCUGACAAGUUUUAGCAUGGACUAUCCUCAGGAAAAUGAGAUCCAGGAAGAGUGACGCCCUCCUCGAACUGAAAGAUACUCAGGUUGAUGGAGUCAGGGACGAAGUGGCUUAUCAACAACACAGGAUGUCUGCAGGGAACAGAACUUAUUCAGACAUGGCCCAGAUUGUCUGCCCGUGGGGACUGAGGGACCUCUGAGGGUUACAUCAGGAAGGAAGGAGAGGCUGUUUCUACAGGUGCCACAGAAAAAUCGAUGCUGAGCCUCGGAUUAUUGGAUCCCAUAGAACCGUGGAGACUUGGCAGUGAAAUUCUUCCAAAGGCAGGCAGAGGUUUUCCUGGUUUGGGAAGUAUAAAUCCCGUGGGAAGUCAACUGGAGGACAUUUUACGCGUCACUCAUCCUAUUAUGAGCCUGCUGCUCCUCCGUCUCUUGACAAGGCCACCAACUAGAAGGGCACAGAAUUGUUCAUAAAACAGCUGAAUGUGAAUGUCUUUGGAUUCCCAUUUAAUGAGUUGGCAGCUAAAGGACAGGAGCAGCAAUAAGGCUUCCUGGCUACAUUUUCAUGGUGCCACCAACUGCGAGUUAAGCUGACAAACAUUUUGAGAGCUCGGCCCAUUUCAUUCCCAGCAGGAUGGCAGGAGUUAACUAAAACAGAAUAAACUAAAAAUUGUGCCUUCAUUGCACAUUUGCACUGAUUAUCAGCACUGAAAAUGGCUAAGUUCUGCUUAUCAAGGUUAUGCUUCACAUCACCCACCAGGGAGGAUCAUCUCUCAUGAAAACUUUCAAAUUUGAUUUUGAAAAUUUAUUCAGAAAAAUUUAAGCCACGCUCUUUCCCAACACAGGAAAUAAUAUGCUCCAGAGAAUCCUCUAAUUCACCGAAAAUGGACUUGGAUAACAUUUGGGUUCUCAUACUACCACAGUCCUCUUGAGAAGGACAGCCAGGAGGCUAAUAAUGAAGGGGCCAGGGAAGGAGGCCAAUGCUACAGGGUUAUCUCCUAACCUCAGAUGUUGGAUAAGUCCAUGGAAACAGCAGCGCUUCUGGAUGGCUUCAGAAAGGCUGGAGUGAUUGUUUGGACGAGAAAAACCCGCCUAUUCAUUCAAAGGUACAUGAAUGUUGUCGACACUGUCCCAUCUAAAGGUUCAUCCUUAGAAUUCUGCCUUAGACAAAGGAAGUGCUUGGAGCCCCACCACACCUAAAACCAUGCUUUGAAGGAUCUGCCAAGCUCACUUUUAAUCAUGAGAAAGAAAUUACCCACAUGGAGACAGCAGAAAAUGAGAAAGUAGAGAUCGUGCUGCGAAUAAUUCCAGCGAGUGCCAAGGGGCUAGUUGAGGAAUGGCUUCAUGAGAUGUUAGUCUAUCUAGAACAACAGAUUUGGAUCUAAGCUGGACCUUUGAGAAAGAAAAGACUUCGAGGAAAAACACCUUUCCAUAUGUUUUAUUACCUUUCACCUGAAUUGUUUAAUGCACACUAUCCAACUAUAUUCAUCUUUCUUGCUUCAUGUGUAUUUCUUCUUUUGCUUGAACUGCUUUAGAAUUGACUUUUGAGCUACACAGUCAUUCUGGAUUUUUAAAAAGAGAAUUCUAAUAAAAACUUAUAUAUGUUGUUAA
rnacentral:lncRNA from 1 species